GCGGCGCUAAAUCAAACCGAAAACAUCGAGUGGCUAACAGGCUCCUGCUGCUGCUGGAGUGUACAGUGUCCUUCGCCUGCACAGUGAAUCACGUCUUGUAUAGUCGCUGUCUAUUUGGUUUGAUAAAUAUGUCUACUACCACCGGCGGCGGAGAGUUCGGCAAUCCUCUGCGAAAGUUCAAGCUCGUCUUUUUGGGCGAGCAGAGCGUUGGGAAGACUUCUCUAAUCACCAGGUUUAUGUAUGACAGCUUCGAUAACACCUACCAGGCAACGAUUGGUAUUGACUUUCUAUCAAAAACCAUGUAUCUAGAAGAUCGUACGAUUCGGCUACAGUUGUGGGACACGGCAGGGCAGGAGCGCUUCCGUAGCCUCAUCCCCAGCUACAUUCGUGAUUCAGCAGCUGCUGUGGUGGUCUAUGAUAUAGCAAAUCUCAAUUCCUUCCAGCAAACCUCAAAAUGGAUAGAUGAUGUCAGAACAGAGAGAGGAAGUGAUGUCAUUAUCAUGUUGGUUGGCAACAAAACAGACUUGGCUGAUAAAAGGCAAGUUUCAGUAGAAGCUGCAGAGAAAAAAGCACGGGAGCUCAAUGUGAUGUACAUAGAGACCAGCGCCAAGGCUGGUUAUAACGUCAAGCAGACAGAUCACCACGGAGGAGGGCGAGCAGAGGGCUAAGGAACUGAAUGUCAUGUUCAUUGAAACCAGUGCAAAAACUGGCUACAAUGUCAAACAGCUUUUUAGACGUGUUGCUGCAGCCUUGCCUGGGAUGGAUAGCGCACCAGAGAAAAGCAAGGAGGACAUGAUUGAUAUCAAACUGGAGAAAUCUCCAGAACUGCCGGUGACUGAGAGCAGCUGCUCAUGCUAGUAACCGCUCCAGACUCACACCAGCUCGGCCUCCUCCCCACCAACAGCUUGUCUCUCAGUGGCCCUGCGCCAUUAGUCAGAGCCUUUUAUUUCCCCUUGACUCAGUGACUUUUCGGAGUAACCGUGUGGAUGUGCUAUUAUUCUGUAUUAAAACAGAUUAUCGAAAAAUAUAUAUGUUAAAGGAAAAACAGUAAAGAAAUUUAAGCAUAGGUUAUACCCACAUUGGAUUCGUAUCUAUCCUGACUGCAUGGCAUUGUGUACGAUUGCAGACUGACACGGCUCAAUUGCUCUUGCACUUUUUUUUUGAGCAUCAGUGCCGUCACACUCAUUAUUGUCAAUUUGUUUCAGAUUACCUAACUCACUCAUGUCGACCAAGAUCUUCAUCUCAUCACGCCUUGCUAUUUCAUUGUGGUGAACAGAAAGGCAAAGGCAAUCUAAAUAGCAUUGACUAUUGAUGAAAUUUAAACGUGUUACUAAUGAUUUAUUUUUAUUUUUAACAUAAUUAUAGUUUUGACAGUUGUGUUUUUCAUAAAACAGCAGAAGGGCCAGUUCUGACAUGGAUAUCGAGGGACCUCUUCUAGCUCUAAUUCUCACACAAUAUGUUAAAAAAAAAGAAAAAGAAAAAAAGUACAAAGAAAGUGAAUACAACAAAAAGAAUGAAUGUUAAUGAAUUUGGUGUUAUGGAUCAGUACAAUUAGAGUCUUUUGUUUCAGGGUAUAGGUGUUGGCCAAAGAAGACUUUUAAAUAUGAUAAUUAUUAGACAUACCUCGGCAUUCUGUUCAGACUCUAACACACUUUAUUGGUAAAUUGCAUGGAAUUGAAAUGCUCCUACCUGGGUUGAAAAGCUGUGGAUGUGUAUUCAGACACUAUUCUAGAUACUUGGGUUCUUUACCAAACACCAUGUAUUACAAUUACCCAUUAACUCAAAUUAUGAAACCUAAUUAACUGAAAGCAAUGAAUACCUAGAUAAUGAGUACCUGAAUUGUUUCUUGUGAGUGAAUUGCACACUAGUGGGUGUACUGAAUUUUAGCAGCUGCAUCUGGUGCCUGUUCUCACUGUGCUCUUUUUUGCCUUGUGUUCAGUAAACCAGUGCAGGACCAGCAUGCUAUCUGAGGGUGCUUUAAACAGGACAAAGCACCAAAUCACAACAUUGUGGUUUGGAGAGACCUGCUGAUUUGCAUAAAGCUGCAGAGGUUUCUGUUGACUAUAUGAAGCUUUUUUUCCCUUAUGCACAGCUAUCGCUUAGUGUAGAAAAACGUCCUGAAGAGUUUGAUCAUGUGUUGCUAAUGCUCGUUUUGAGACUGUUGGUUUUAUAUGUUAAUUUAUUUAUCUCACUAAGAACAGAAAAUGUGUCGUGUGCUUGGUCUAAAUGGCAGUUAUUAAACACUUGGGAAACAGUCAGUUGAUUUAUGGCUUGCAUUUCUGCUUUGGUGACUGUAUCACAGAGACCUGGUCGUGUAGUUUUCUCUUCACUAUGCUCAUUCUCUCUCGGUUGUAUGCUCUGUGUGUAGUUUUAAGGAUCUAGCCAGACUGGAUCUCUAGAUGUGUACAUGCACUUAAAUGUACAUUCUUUGACAGCACCACUACACAGCAAGCUUGUUUUGAAAUAUUAGCAUUUGACAUUGUUUCGAUAUGUAAGUAUUUAGUUACAAGAAACAUCUCCUGAACAGCUGUACACUUAUUGUCACUGAUUGAAUACUCCGCUGUGUGCUAUUCUGAAGUGUUCGUCUAUUUGGAAUAUGCUGUCUUACUAGUGUUUAGCAAAAUUUAUGUGGAAAAAUUGCAUUAUCUGCUGUAAAAAAAAAUAAAUUCAAUAAAACACUGAAGUGUAUCACAUGAAAUAAAGAUAUUUCACCAAGCGUUAA